AGGCACUGAAUUCCGUUAAAAACUUCUACGUCUAUAUCGUAUGUGUUAUAUAAAACACUUCAAAAUUUCAUUGAGACUGUAAGAAAACGCGACUAGCAUGAUAAUAUUGGUAAACAUUGAAACCAAUCUGAAAAUGUAUAUAAAAGUUACAAGAUUUUUGGUAUAGCUCCUUUAAAAUUGUCGGGUAAUCCAAGCAAUUUCAAGGUUUAUUUCGUUCGAGAGCAUCUUGAGAUCUGUAUUUAUCGUAUUUUUACAUGUACAAGUUUCCUUUUAUGUUGUUGUUUC
rnacentral:misc_RNA from 1 species